rnacentral:lncRNA from 1 species
UUUAACUGAAGUAGUAAUUUUUACUUAAAGGGAUUUAAGAAUUACGUAUAUGUUUGUUUUUAAUCAACAUUAAUUUUUAAAAUUUAUCUCGUUUUUCCUUUGUGGGGUGUAUGUGUGUGUGUAAGUGAGGAUCUAAAGGGCCUUAUGCCCAAAUAGAUCAGAACAACUGGAUCAAAACAAUUCGUUGAAACUUAACGUGGCUAAAUGUUGUCACUGAGCUAACGUCUGUGCCAGUCCUCCUCUAUUUUAUGUGGGACACCUCCACAGCAUGGCUUUGACAAGUGGUGCUAGGUCUGCGCCUACGAUCUGAACCUGCAAACCGUGGACGGUCAAAGCAGAGCACGUGAACUUAACCACUAUGCCACGGGGCCAUCCCCGAAAUGACUGUUUUUAAAAACAGCUGUUUUCAGUUCGCAUGAAAGCUAUUUAUUCAUCCAAUAGAUGACUCCAUGUCAGGUACCAGGAAUACGGUGGUGAGCAAGAUAAAGACUCCUUUUCUGGAAUUUACAUUCUACUUGAGGAGACAGAAGAGUUUGAAUGAAAAACGGAGAUUCUGAUUAGAAUUUGUAGUGUGUAUUAACACUUGGUUGGCUAAAUAAACAUCCAUUCCCAACCUUCUCCCUUACUUUCCACCACUGCUGAGACUAAAAGAGCUAGGUGCUUGCUUCCUCAGCUUGCUAGCAUCUAGGGGUAGCCAUAUGAUGUGGUUCUGGCCAGUGCAAUAUAGAUGGAAGUCUUCUGGGGGACUUCUGGAAAAUCAUUUGGUUUUCUGAUUUAAAAAAAAAAGGAGUAGGUGUAUUUAGCACCACCACCCUCUCUCUUCUUCAUUGAAUUAUCCAUUCAAGUUCAAGUCAUAGCAGCAGUCUUCUUGGAACUAUAAAGCAGCAAACCAGUAUUCCAAAGGGAGGCCAAGAGGUAGAAGGAGCCUGGGUUUCUAUGGUUGGGGAACUACUGUGCUGGCAUUGUAGCUCCUUUCUCCAGACUUCUUUUUUAUGUGAGAUAAUUGAAUGUUUUAGUUACUUAAGCCACUGUUAAUUGGAUGUUUUCUUACCCAUAAAGGCAUUCCUAGGAAAUUCAGUAUUAAAUUAAUCUGCAUUAAUUUUGGGAAGGAUGGAUAUUUUUUAUGGUUUUGAGAUUCUGUAUCCAGAAAAGUGUCAUACUGCUUUUCUGUCUUAUUUUAUGUCUGUUAAUAUUUUAUUUUUUCAAUUUAGAUCCUGUGUAUUUAUUUUGAGACAUAUUUAGAUUCC